UGGGACCAGGCAAAUUAGUAUGGGCUCGAA
rnacentral:piRNA from 1 species